rnacentral:rRNA from 1 species
AUUGAACGCUGGCGGCAUGCUUUACACAUGCAAGUCGGACGAGUGGCGAACGGGUGAGUAAUAUAUUGGAACGUACCGAGUAAUGGGGGAUAACCAAUCGACAGAUUGGCUAAUACCGCAUAUUAUUCGAGCGGCCCAUAUCUGAUUAGCUAGUGGGUGGGGUAAAGGCCUACCAAGGCGACGAUCAGUAGCGGGUCUGAGAGGAUGACCCGCCACACUGGGAAUGGGACACGGUCCAGACUCCCACGGGAGGCAGCAGUGGGGAAUGUUGGACAAUGGGCGCAAGACUGAUCCAGCCAUGCCGCGUGUCUGAAGAAGGCCUUCGGGUUGUAAAGUACUUUUGGUAGGUAAGCGUUACCUAAAGAAUAAGCACCGGCUAACUACGUGCCAGCAGCCGCGGUAAUUC